rnacentral:misc_RNA from 1 species
CCAAUAGCGUAUAUUAAAGUUGUUGCAGUUAAAAAGCUCGUAGUUGAAUUUCGAGACCGGCUUACUGGUCGUGCUUUUGUACGUACUGGUAUAAUCGGUUUCUCCUUUCUGACGAACUAUAAUGCCAUUAAUUUGGUGUUAUAGGGAAUCAGGACUGUUACUUUGAAAAAAUUAGAGUGUUUAAAGCAGGCUCACGCUUGAAUACAUUAGCAUGGAAUAACGGAAUAGGACGUUUGAUUCUAUUUUGUUGGUUUCUAGGAUCGACGUAAUGAUUAAUAGGGAUAGUUGGGGGCAUUAGUAUUCAAUUGUCAGAGGUGAAAGUCUUUGAUUUAUUGAAGACUAACUACUGCGAAAGCAUUUGCCAAGGAUGUUUUCAUUAAUCAAGAACGAAAGUUAGGGGAUCGAAGACGAUCAGAUACCGUCGUAGUCUUAACCAUAAACUAUGCCGACUAGGGAUCGGAUGAUGUUAAUUUUUUAAUGACUCAUUCGGCGCCUUACGGGAAACCAAAGUGUUUGGGUU